rnacentral:rRNA from 1 species
CCGAAUGACGUUGCGCUGUCGCAUGACGGUGCAACCAAAGGCCGGGCAAUCGGUCACUGAAGGAUGGGCCUGCGUCUGAUUAGCUAGUUGGUGGGGUAACGGCCCACCAAGGCGACGAUCAGUAGCCGGUCUGAGAGGAUGAACGGCCACAUUGGGACUGAGACACGGCCCAAACUCCUACGGGAGGCAGCAGUGGGGAAUCUUCCGCAAUGGGCGCAAGCCUGACGGAGCAACGCCGCGUGAGUGAAGAAGGGUCUUUCGGAUCGUAAAGCUCUGUUGAGAGGGACGAGAGAUAUAAGUCAGGAAAUGGGUUAUAGAGGACGGUACCUUUCGAGGAAGCCACGGCUAACUACGUG